UACGAAGGGGGCUAGCGUUGCUCGGAAUCACUGGGCGUAAAGGGUGCGUAGGCGGGUUUUUAAGUCCGGGGUGAAAUCCUGGAGCUCAACUCCAGAACUGCCUUUGAUACUGAAGAUCUCGAGUCCGGGAGAGGUGAGUGGAACUGCGAGUGUAGAGGUGAAAUUCGUAGAUAUUCGCAAGAACACCAGUGGCGAAGGCGGCUCACUGGCCCGGUACUGACGCUGAGGUGCGAAAGCGUGGGGAGCAAACAGG
rnacentral:rRNA from 1 species